UACUGUUACAAUGCUACCAAAAAACUCAACUAGAUGAGAAUUUAGCUCUCUUAGUUGGCUAGGAGCGAAGCCCAUAUGCAUGAAAGCAUCAUGAAAUAAGACGUCUGCAGAGCUUCCAUUAUCAAUUAAUAUAUGAUGUACAUCAUAAUUUGAAACAUUUAAAAUGAUGACAAUAGAGUCAUUAUGUGGAUAUUUUAUACACCUU
rnacentral:lncRNA from 1 species